CAGUAGCCGCGGUAAUACGUAGGGUGCGAGCGUUAAUCGGAAUUACUGGGCGUAAAGCGUGCGCAGGCGGUUGGUUAAGACAGAUGUGAAAUCCCCGGGCUCAACCUGGGAACUGCAUUUGUGACUGGCCAGCUAGAGUAUGGCAGAGGGGGGUGGAAUUCCACGUGUAGCAGUGAAAUGCGUAGAGAUGUGGAGGAACACCGAUGGCGAAGGCAGCCCCCUGGGCCAAUACUGACGCUCAUGCACGAAAGCGUGGGGAGCAAACAGGAUUAGAUACCCCAGUAGUCCCUGUCUCUUAUAA
rnacentral:rRNA from 1 species